CGUCAUUUCCAGGUAAUGAGCCACGCAUCGCAAGGACGCGAUGUUUGCCGACGUGAACUGUAGAACGACGCCGUAGCAGAAUUUCGCUGCGAGCUCAAAGGCCUCUGACCCGCCGGGAACUCCGGGUAGGUUGAGGUGGUAAGUGUUCUUCGUGUCUUUUGAUUCAAGAAGGAGCUUCCUGAUUCUUCCACUCCGAGAGACGAGAGGAAACUGAAAAAAAAAACAGAGACAAUGAGCCGACUUCUAUGGUCAAGUCACUCGUAACGUCCGAGACCGGCCUGGAAACACAUACACAAUUUUUUGAGGACCCAUAAGCCAAAAACGUUAAAAUCAUUCUUGUCUGAAAGAAAGAAAGAAAGUAAAAGAGAUUAGUACCAUUGAGGAGUGUGUCUGAUGCUUGAACUUGGGCGAAAUGCUUUUUUGCCAGAGACACUUUGCUUUGACUCAGGAACAGUAACAACACCCAUUUUAUCUCUUCUUUUACAAAACAGAUCCAAACUUUCUUUUUGGUUUUGGUUUUGGUGUUUCUUAUCAGACAAAAUUUAGCAAACCAAUGUUAUCGCAAAGACCUGCACAUAUGCUUUUGUGUUUCUACCAAGAUUGUUCUUUCUGUCGGCUGCAAA